GAAAUGCGAUACCUGGUGUGAAUUGCAGAAUCCCGCGAACCAUCGAGUCUUUGAACGCAAGUUGCGCCCGAGGCCUUCUGGCCAAGGGCACGCCUGCCUGGGCGUCACGCCAAACACGCUCCCACCCCACUAAACAUGGGGCGGGAUGCGGCAUGUGGCUCCCCGUCUCGCAAGGGGCGGUGUGCCGAAGAUCUGGCUGCCGGUGUAUCGUGCCGGACACAGCGCGUGGUAGGCGAUCUCGCUAUACUAAACGCAGUGCAUCCGGGGCGUAGCCGACGCAAUGGCCUCAUGGACCCUAUAAACGGAGUGCACGACACUUCUACCGCGACCCCAGGUCAGGCGGGACUACCCGCUGAAUUUAA
rnacentral:rRNA from 1 species